rnacentral:rRNA from 1 species
GCUAAUGUGGGUCCAGCGGCGUGGGGAGGACGAAGGGGGCGAGCGUGGUGCGGAAUGACUGGGCGUAAAGCGCUGGCAGGCGGUGCUCCAAGUCAGUGGUGAAAGCCCGGAGCUCAACUCCGGAAUUGCCAUGGAAACUGUUGAACUGGAGGAUGAGAGAGGUGAGGGGAAUGCCCAGUGUAGAGGUGAAAUUCGUAGAUAUUGGGAAGAACACCGGUGGCGAAGGCGGCUCACUGGCUCAUUACUGACGCUCAGGCGCGAUAGCGUGGGGAUCAAACAGGAUUAGAUACCCGGGUAGUC